GGGACGACAUCAAAAGAUCAAUGUAAGAUAAAAAACUUAAUUCAAAUAGUUUGGGGGUGGGGGGGGGGGGGGGGGGGGUUGAACUGCUGCUAGAUGUGGUUAUCCGACAUUGAUUUUUACAUAUAUCUAUAUGGGUCAAUCAAUUUUUCCCAAAUUAAGUUAAGAGGGGGGUGUGGGGGUCAGUGAAAAAACUAUGUGAAUUAAGUUUUUUAUCCUUCAUUGAACUUUUGAUGUCGUCCCUUAAUAUUU
rnacentral:lncRNA from 1 species